rnacentral:rRNA from 1 species
GUUAAGCGACUAAGCGUACACGGUGGAUGCCCUGGCAGUCAGAGGCGAUGAAGGACGUGCUAAUCUGCGAUAAGCGUCGGUAAGGUGAUAUGAACCGUUAUAACCGGCGAUUUCCGAAUGGGGAAACCCAGUGUGAUUCGUCACACUAUCAUUACGUGAAUACAUAGCGUAAUGAAGCGAACCGGGGGAACUGAAACAUCUAAGUACCCCGAGGAAAAGAAAUCAACCGAGAUUCCCCCAGUAGCGGCGAGCGAACGGGGAGCAGCCCAGAGUCUGAAUCAGCUUGUGUGUUAGUGGAACGGUCUGGAAAGUCCGACGGUACAGGGUGAUAGUCCCGUACACCAAAAUGCACAGGUUGUGAACUCGAAGAGUAGGGCGGGACACGUGGUAUCCUGUCUGAAUAUGGGGGGACCAUCCUCCAAGGCUAAAUACUCCUGACUGACCGAUAGUGAACCAGUACCGUGAGGGAAAGGCGAAAAGAACCCCGGCGAGGGGAGUGAAAAAGAACCUGAAACCGUGUACGUACAAGCAGUGGGAGCCUCUUUAUGGGGUGACUGCGUACCUUUUGUAUAAUGGGUCAGCGACUUAUAUUCUGUAGCAAGGUUAACCGUAUAGGGGAGCCGAAGGGAAACCGAGUCUUAACUGGGCGUUAAGUUGCAGGGUAUAGACCCGAAACCCGGUGAUCUAGCCAUGGGCAGGUUGAAGGUUGGGUAACACUAACUGGAGGACCGAACCGACUAAUGUUGAAAAAUUAGCGGAUGACUUGUGGCUGGGGGUGAAAGGCCAAUCAAACCGGGAGAUAGCUGGUUCUCCCCGAAAGC